AACGAACGCUGGCGGCAUGCUUAACACAUGCAAGUCGAACGCAUGCUUUCGGUCAUGAGGCGCACGCGGGCGAAUAGCGCGGGGACACCUACCUCGUGUUGGAAGAUCUCUCCGGGAAAGGUGAUAAAAUAGGGUAUUUUUCCUGAGGGACAAAGAUUUAGCGCCAAGGGAGGGGCCCGCGUCGGAUUAUCUAGUUGGUGGGGUAACGGCCUACCAAGGCGACGAUCCGUAGCUGGUCUAAGAGGAUGAUCAGCCACAUUGGGACUGAGACACGGCCCAAACUCCUACGGGAGGCAGCAGUGGGGAAUAUUGGACAAUGGGCGCAAGCCUGAUCCAGCCAUGCCGCGUGAGUGAUGAAGGCCCUAGGGUUGUAAAGCUCUUUCACCGGUGACGAUAAUGACGGUAACCGGAGAAGAAGCCCCGGCUAACUUCGUG
rnacentral:rRNA from 1 species